rnacentral:rRNA from 1 species
AGUGAACGCUGGCGGUAGGCCUAACACAUGCAAGUCGAACGGCAGCACAGUAAGAGCUUGCUCUUACGGGUGGCGAGUGGCGGACGGGUGAGGAAUAUAUCGGAAUCUACUUUUUCGUGGGGGAUAACGUAGGGAAACUUACGCUAAUACCGCAUACGACCUACGGGUGAAAGCAGGGGAUCUUCGGACCUUGCGCGAUUGAAUGAGCCGAUGUCGGAUUAGCUAGUUGGCGGGGUAAAGGCCCACCAAGGCGACGAUCCGUAGCUGGUCUGAGAGGAUGAUCAGCCACACUGGAACUGAGACACGGUCCAGACUCCUACGGGAGGCAGCAGUGGGGAAUAUUGGACAAUGGGCGCAAGCCUGAUCCAGCCAUACCGCGUGGGUGAAGAAGGCCUUCGGGUUGUAAAGCCCUUUUGUUGGGAAAGAAAAGCAGCAGGUUAAUACCCCGCCGUUCUGACGGUACCCAAAGAAUAAGCACCGGCUAACUUCGUG